CUGAGCUCGACGGUAGGGAAGCCCUCCAUGAUGCGGUAGUCGGCCAGAUGACGGCAGCCCCAGCCAGGGCAGCCUGUGGAUCCCCACUGAGCGCAGAAACGAACACUGACCAUGGUCUACACCGGGACCGAGACGCACUGCAGCCAGGCAAAGCCCCCAGCCACAUGAAGCUCUGGUCCAUGGCUGGCCCAGGCAGUGGGAGCCUCUUCUCCAGUCCCUUGGACACAUCAGCAAGUGCCAUCACAACACGUGCUUCCGGAAGGGAGAGGCAGAGAGAAGGAAAUCAGGAGUCUCUGUACCGGCCUGGAGAUGACCCACAUCCCUUCUGCUCCCAACUCAGCCGAAAUUCAUCUCGUGACUCCACCCAUCCACAAGAGGGCCAGAGGCUGAGUCUUCCAAGUCCAGGAGGAGAGCUGGAUUUCAGUGACAACACUAAUUACCCAGACUCUGAGGCUUUACAAAAUACUUACUAUUCCACUUCUUAGUCCCCUGAAUCCAGACGUUCCUUCACCUCCUGAUGACGCUCUCUGGGAGGUGAAGGCAGGAAUAUAUGGCUUGACUGAAUGGUGGGUUGAGCCGGAACUCUUCUGUCCCCAGA